rnacentral:rRNA from 1 species
GAUGAACGCUGGCGGCGUGCCUAAUACAUGCAAGUCGAGCGAACAGACGAGGAGCUUGCUCCUCUGACGUUAGCGGCGGACGGGUGAGUAACACGUGGAUAACCUACCUAUAAGACUGGGAUAACUUCGGGAAACCGGAGCUAAUACCGGAUAAUAUAUUGAACCGCAUGGUUCAAUAGUGAAAGACGGUUUUGCUGUCACUUAUCGAUGGAUCCGCGCCGCAUUAGCUAGUUGGUAAGGUAACGGCGUACCAAGGCGACGAUGCGUAGCCGACCUGAGAGGGUGAUCGGCCACACUGGAACUGAGACACGGUCCAGACUCCUACGGGAGGCAGCAGGAGGGAAUCUUCCGCAAUGGGCGAAAGCCUGACGGAGCAACGCCGCGUGAGUGAGGAAGGUCUUCGGAUCGUAAAACUCUGUUAUUAGGGAAGAACAAAUGUGUAAGUAACUAUGCACGUCUUGACGGUACCUAAUCAGAAAGCCACGGCUAACUACGUU